GGUGAACGCUGGCGGUAGGCCUAACACAUGCAAGUCGAACGGCAGCACAGUAAGAGCUUGCUCUUACGGGUGGCGAGUGGCGGACGGGUGAGGAAUACAUCGGAAUCUACUUUUUCGUGGGGGAUAACGUAGGGAAACUUACGCUAAUACCGCAUACGACCUACGGGUGAAAGCAGGGGAUCUUCGGACCUUGCGCGUUUGUAUUAGCCGAUGUCGGAUUAGCUAGUUGGCGGGGUAAAGGCCCACCAAGGCGACGAUCCGUAGCUGGUCUGAGAGGAUGAUCAGCCACACUGGAACUGAGACACGGUCCAGACUCCUACGGGAGGCAGCAGUGGGGAAUAUUGGACAAUGGGCGCAAGCCUGAUCCAGCCAUACCGCGUGGGUGAAGAAGGCCUUCGGGUUGUAAAGCCCUUUUGUUGGGAAAGAAAAGCAGCAGGUUAAUACCCCGCUGUUCUGACGGUACCCAAAGAAUAAGCACCGGCUAACUUCGUG
rnacentral:rRNA from 1 species